rnacentral:lncRNA from 1 species
AUGAGAUUAAGAGCAUUAAGUGCACGACUGUUCAACAAACAUGGAAAUGAAACAGAUGAGGGGAAUCUUCAAUCACAAAUUCAAACUAAGUCACCAACGGGUUCUGAUGUUGGAAGAACCGGAGGUGUCUCUAUUAAUAGGCAGCAAAAGGUAACUAAGGUGACCACUAAUGAAGACAGUCUCUUUAGAAAAGGUUUAUCCCUUGAUCAUUUACCAAAGGUGAAGAGAUACCUUCAGUUUUCACACUCUGAUUCCAAUCCUCAAGUCCAAUUACCAUCCCCUCCACCAACCACUGGGGUAGUCACGUCUGAAUUUAUAAUGACAACUGAGUCCAAGAGAUCCAGUUUCUCAUCUGAGGAUGAUGUCAAACAAACCACUAAAGAUAAAAAUUUUGUUGGACAAGUGGAUGCAUCUUAUGACAGAAUUCCAAAAGUAAAAAGAUAUAUUAAAUUCUCAAGCACUGAACCUUGUUCGACAACACUGCCCUUGAACAAACAAAGUAUAUCACCUGAACUAGUGGCACAACAUGAAUCAAGAAGAUCAAGUACGUCAUCUGAAGAUGAUACCAAACUUACAACCAAUGAAAACAAUUUCUUCAGGAAGAUAGGUGUAUCUCCUGAAAAUAUUCAAAAAGUGAAAAGAUACAUUCACUUCAAGCAGUCCCCACCAGAUUCUCCAACUCUGCCAUCAUCACCGUCCAUAACUAUGGAAGAUGCUAUACAGGAAAUGAGAAUUAGCUCAUCAUCAGAUGAUGAUCAAUUGAAUACUGAAGAAGUUGGAGUAUCAAAAGUAAAAAGAUUCAUCACAUUUAAACAGUUUGAACCUUCUUCCCCAACACUAUCAGUAUCCAGUCCUUUAACUAAAAUUGAGGCCACAACUGAGGCAGUAAAGUCUAUGCUCACCAGCACCUCUAACGAUGAUGUCAGAUCUCUGAAUGACAGUGAUAAUUUCUUUGCUAAAACAGAUGGUUUGCCAAAGGUAAAGCAAUAUCUUAAGUUUAAGGAAACUGAACUUCAUCCACAACACAUUCAGUCAACAUCUUCACUUUCAACCUCAGGAGUAGUUAAACCAGGCAAGGUGGAAACUGAAUUCUCUGGAGAAAUCGGUUUCUCUCUUGAUAGAGUACCAAAUGUAAAGAGAUAUAUUCAAUUUAAACAGCCUGUAUCUCACCUUCAAGUUGUGUCACCCACCACUUCAGAUACACUGCAAGUCACAACUAAGGUGAAAACUAAAUCUGAAUCAAAGAGAUCGAGCACUUCUUCUGAGGAUGAUGUCAAACAAACUGCCAAAGUAGACAAUGUCUUCGGACAAAUAGAAACAUCUCUUGAUAGAAUCCCACGAGUUAAGAGAUACAUUCAAUUCACACAUCCUGAAAUUCAAUCUCCAGCUCAGACAAAAACUGGUCUUUCAUCUGAAAGAGUCAAUGUAUCUAUGGUAGCUAAAGAAACAAGGAGAUGGAGCACUUCAUCUGAGGAAGAUGUUAGACCGAAAGAGAAUAUCACUGAAGAAACAGUUGAAUAUCUUGCCAAAAUCCCAAAAGUAAAGAGGUACAUUAAGUUCACACAAUCUGAACCAUAUUCCUUGAAUCUGUCAUCCUUACUUCCUUUAACCACAGAAAAAUCCAUGAAGGUGACAGAAAAUGAAAUGAAACAACCAGCCACUAGGGAGAGCACUUCAUCGGAGGAUGAUGUUCAGGAAGACGAUGGCUCUGGACAAAUAGAAGUGUCUCUUAAUAGAGUGCCAAGAGUUAAAAGAUACAUUCAAUUCACACAUCCUGAAAGUAAAUCCCCUGUUCAGUCAACAUCUGCUGUCUCAGCUCAAAGACUUGGAAUAUUGGGGGUAGUUCAAGACACAAGGAAAUCAAGCACUUCAUCUGAGGAAGAUGUAACACUAACUGCUAAGGAAGACAAUGUCUUUGGACAAACUGGAGCAUCUCUUGACAAAAUUCCAAAGGUUAAGAGAUAUAUUCAAUUCACAAAGCCUGAACGUGAACCUUUUGUUCAGGCAACAACUGCUCUCUCUGCUAAAAGACUUGGACCAUCUGGAGUUUUUCAAGAAACAAGGAAAUCAGGUACUUCAUCUGCUGAUGCUGUUGAGUCAUCUACUCAUGAUGAUGAUGUGUUUAAACCAAAAGGUGCAUCUUUUGACAAAAUCCCAAAAGUGAAGAGGUACAUUAAGUUCACACAAUCUGAACCAUAUUCCUUGAAUCGGUCACCAUUUCUUCCUUUAACCACAGAAAAAUCCAUGAAGGUGACAGAAACCGAACUGAAACAACCAGCCACUAGGGAGAGCACUUCAUCAGAGGAUGAUGUUCAGGAAGAUGAUGGCUCUGGACAAAUAGAAUUGUCUCUUAAUAGAGUGCCAAGAGUUAAAAGAUACAUUCAAUUCACACAUCCUGAAAGUAAAUCCCCUGUUCAGUCAACAUCUGCUGUCUCAGCUCAAAGAAUUGGAAUAUUGGGGGUAGUUCAAGACACAAGGAAAUCAAGCACUUCAUCUGAAGAAGAUGUCACACUAACUGCUAAGGAAGACAAUGUCUUUGGACAAACUGGAGCAUCUCUUGACAAAAUUCCAAAGGUUAAGAGAUAUAUUCAAUUCACAAAGCCUGAAAGUGAACCUUUUGUUCAGGCAACAACUGCUCUCUCUGCUAAAAGACUUGGAAUAUCUGGAGUUUUUCAAGAAACAAGGAAAUCAGGUACUCCAUCUGAUGAUGGUGUUGAGUCAUCUACUCAUGAUGAUGAUGUGUUUAAACAAAAAGCUGCAUCUUUUGACAAAAUCCCAAAAGUGAAGAGGUACAUUAAGUUUACACAAUCUGAACCUUCCCAGGGUCUUGCACCAUUUCCUCUUCCAAGCACUGUAAAAUCUGUAAAGGUGACAGAAACAGGAUCUAUUAUCUUAGCUGAAAAUGAAGCACAACCAUUUCCUAAGAAGAAUGUUAAGGAAGACAAUGUUGUUGGGCAAACAGAAGCACAUCUUGAAAGAAUACCAAGAGUUAAGAGAUAUAUUCGAUUCACACAUCAGUCCCCUGAGCAGUCAACAACUUCUCUAUCAGCUGAAAGAGUUGGAAUAUCUGAGGUCAUUUUAGAAACGCGAAGAUCAAGCACUUCAUCUGAGGAUGAAGUCAAACUGACUGCUAAUGAAGACAAUUAUGGUAGACAUAUUGGAGCACCUCUUGACAAAAUCCCAAAAGUAAAGAGGUACAUUGAAUUCAGACAAUAUGAACCUUGUUCCUCAGCAGAGUCAAAACUUCAGUCAUCAAGUGUUGUUAAAUCCAUAAAGGGGACAGCAACAGAAUUAAGGGGAUCCAGUACUUCAGUUGAAGAUUAUGUACAACCAGCUACUAAUGGAAACAAAACAGAAUCAAUGGCACAGAUCACUUCAUCUGAAACUCUUGACAGAGUACCAAGAGUUAAGAGAUACAUUCAAUUCACACCUAUUAAAAGUCAAUAUCCUGCUCGGGCACCAACUGCUGUCUUAGAUGGGGUAUCUGGGGUAGCUCAAGAAACAAAGAUAUUGAGCACUUCAUCUAAAUAUGUUAAACCAUCUGCUACUAAUUAUAAUAUCAUUAGAAAAACAGACACAAAUUUCUCUCAAGAAACUGGUGUCUCUCUUGAUAAAAUCCCAAAUGUAAAGAGGUACAUUGCAUUUACAAAGAGUGAACCACCAUCUUCAACCAAUUUAAUAAAAAGAGAUUUAACGCCAACAACAAAUACAGACCUAGAAACCACAUGGUCCAGUUUAUCAACUGAAGUGUCACCUCCUGCCUCAAUGAAAAACGGGUCUGCAUUAAUAAUGAAGGCAGAAUCAUGGACAUCUGAGUUAACUUACAAGGAUGACAUUAUUAAAGGAGAGCUUAUGGACAGUUCAGUGGAGCUGACUGGCCUAAAGUCAAAGUUAAGAAAGUCAAGUUCCUCAUCCAGUGACGAACAAUCUGUAGGACAUGAGGUUGUGGAUGUCCAAGAUGAGCCACCAGCAGUUCCACAGACAUCCCCACCUCCCCUAGAACAAGAGGAUGCCAGAGAGUAUCAAUUAUUGCAACACAGACAAUUAUUGCAGCAAAGGAGAAGGGAAAUGGAUGAGUUCAAAAUUGCAUCCCUAUCCUCCAUGCAACAAGGCGGCGACAAGCAAGACAGAUCAUCAGCAGAUUAUGGAGGAGUGACACCAUUCCAAACAGAACAUACUUACAGCAGUGUCUCUACAAGGACCACAUUAACUUCCAGAGGCACAGAAGGAGACAAAGCUCCAGUUUUACGCGGCCUUAAAACUCAGAGUACAUCAACACUCAGCUCCAAGUCACCGGUAAACUCAACUCCAAAGUACAGGGAAUUUUUUAUUUAG